GUGGGGAAUAUUGGACAAUGGGCGCAAGCCUGAUCCAGCCAUGCCGCGUGAGUGAUGAAGGCCUUAGGGUUGUAAAGCUCUUUUGGCAGGGACGAUAAUGACUGUACCUGCAGAAUAAGCCCCGGCCAACUUCGUGCCAGCAGCCGCGGUAAUACGAAGGGGGCUAGCGUUGCUCGGAAUCACUGGGCGUAAAGCGCACGUAGGCGGGUUGUUAAGUCAGGGGUGAAAUCCUGGAGCUCAACUCCAGAACUGCCUUUGAUACUGGCAAUCUUUGAGUCCGGGAGAGGUGGGUGGAACUGCGAGUGUAGAGGUGAAAUUCGUAGAUAUUCGCAAGAACACCAGUGGCGAAGGCGGCUCACUGGCCCGGUACUGACGCUGAGGUGCGAAAGCGUGGGGAGCAAACAGGAUUAGAAACCCGGGUAGUCC
rnacentral:rRNA from 1 species